GUGGUGCAGAUGGUUAACGUAUUUGGCUGCUAACCGAAAGGUUGGUGGUUCGAGUCCGCCC
rnacentral:tRNA from 1 species